CCUAACUCAAAAACAUAGCACUGUACCAGCUCCUAGGAAGACAAUUAACUCUAUCCCACCCAAAACCAGGACACUGACCUACCUGAUUGCCUUCUCUGAUAGAAUGACUAGCUUUGUGGAUGAGGGGAGAGCAUUGCAUGUCAUUUACCUCAACUUUAGGAAGGCUUUUGACAUGAUCUCCCACAGCAUGGCUGUAUUCUCAUUGGGGCAUUAGGGUCUGAAUUCUUGGACAUCUAGAUGGUUAAAAAAACCCUGGUCAGCUGGUCACAUUCAAAGGGUAGUGGUCAAUAGGUUGUACUCUACCUGGGGGUCAGUAACAAGUGGAGUACUGCAGGGAUCUAGGCUGUUUGAGAUCUCUAUCAAUGACCUGAAGGAGGUGACAGAGUGCACUCUCAUGAAAUUUGGAAAUGACACCCAAUUCGGGGAAACAGUUGAUACACUUGAGGGCAGGGCUGCCAACAAGAGGGACCUGGACAGGCUGGAGGAAUAGGCCAACCUUAUGAAAUUCAACAAGGUCAAACACAAAGUCUUGUACUUGAGAAGGAAGAACCACCUGCAAUGAUGCAAACUAGGUAGCAGCUUUGCUGAAAAGGAUGUGGGGGUUUUGGUAGACAGCAUGUCUACAUGAGUCAGCAGUGUUUCCCUGGCAGCAAAGGCAGCCAGGAGUAUCAACAAGAGCUUAGCCAGUAGUUUAAUGGAAGUGAUUAUUCCCUUUUACUCAGCACUCAUUAGAGUGUAUCUACAAUACUGUGGUCAGAAUUGGGCACCCUAAUACAAGACAGACAUUGACAGACUGGAGCGAGUUCAGUGGAGGACCACCAAGAUGGUCGAGGAGCUGGAGCAAAUGCUCUGUGAGGGAGCUGGGCUUGUUCAGCCUGGAGGAAAGAAGGCUAUGGAGUGGGGGGAAGACAGCUAAUAGCACGAUCCCCACCUCCCAACACUUGCAACGAAGUUAUCAAGACAAUCCAGCCAGGCUCUUUACAGUGGUGCAUGGUGGAAGGAUGAGAAACAGUAGGCAUGAAUGGAAGCAAGAGAGGUUCAAACUAGAUAUGAGAAACUUUUUACCAUGAGGACAGUUAAGCAGUGGAGCUAGGGCCCAGAGAGACUGUGCAGUCUCCAUCCUUGGAGGUUUUCAAGACAAGACUAGGCAAAGCCCUGAGCAACUUGGUCUGAUCUCAUAGCUGACCCUGCUUUGAGCAAAGUGAAUUAGAGCUCCUGAACUCCCUUCCAACUUGAAUUAUCCUAUGAUCCUACAGCUGCCUGCUGCAGUACAGGCAGCCAUUCUGUUUUUUGUAGGCUGGGGGAGGCUGUGCGAGUGUGAUGCUAUGCUAAGAGUGGGUGAUUUAGUGGCCUGGCAAACUUCUGCAGUGAGCUCAUUCUCUGCUGAAGGAGAAAAGUCCCUUCCAAUCUGAAUUAUGCUGUGAUCCUGUGAUAUUCCAGGAAAGCAGGAAAAGAGGGGUAGGGGAGGAGGAGGAGAAGGAAGAAGGAAAACUUUGCUGUGGCAGCAUGCCUGAAUAAAAUUAUCAACAAUUGAUGGGUAACACACAACACAGAUUUGUGGAUUUAUAGAAGUGCUUAGUAUUUUUUUGUUUGAAAAUUAAGGGGAUUAGACUUUAGAAUGUGGUUGUAUUUGGGGCAGCAUUCAGCCAGCAGGAGCACAGAAUACCCAAUUGACAGGUAACAAAGAAGAGUCUACGAUUUGACACUGAGAACAUUUCCUGGCAAAGUAAAUGGGCUUGAUUGUUGGCCUAUUAGCUAGCAGAUUAUAUUGGGUGUACGCAGCAAGGUUCUGGUAGCAGGGGGCAGGGGCUACAUGGGUGGCCUCUGUGAGAAGAGGUCAGGGGUUGCCCUGUGCUGGACACAGCUGGUUCCAGCCAGCUCAGUAACGGCCCCACCACAGGCCACAGCUGAGCCCAUCAGUGAAGCUGGUAGUGGCUCUGUGAAAACAUAUUUAAGAAAGACCAAAAAUGCUGGGGGGGGAAGUGUGAAAAACAACAGUGAGAACACCAAAGUCAGAGAAGAAGGAGGGGGAGGAGGUGCUCCAGGUGCCACAGCAGAUAUUUCCCUGAAUCCUGUGGAAGAGACCACAAUGAAGCAGGUAUUUCCCUGUGGUCCAUGGAGAACCCAUGCUGAAGUAGAUUCUCCUGACAGGAACUGCAGCCUGUGUGCCAGAGUCCAAUACUCUCCGACCAGGUUCUUUUAGAUAUUUCACAUAAGGAGGUUGUAAUAUUUUAAUAUCAAAUUUACUUAUUUGAAGAUAUUUGAUGUUACACAGGAUUUUGAUUUAGCAGAAUGAUACAGCGAUAUACUGAAAUACCAAUACAAGCAUAAUAUAGCAAUUGCAAUAUACAAUUGAAUCACAAUACAAACAUGAUUGCCAUUACUGAUAUCUAUAUGCUCACCAUCCCAAUGCUGUGUGUCUCCAGUUGCCAGGAAGGAAUACAUGGGUUGAAGCCAACACAAGCUGACCAAUUACUGUCAUGGGCAAAACAGACUCGACUUGGGGAAAAUUAAUUUCAUUUAUUGACAAUUAAAAGAGAUUUGGAUACUGAAAAACAAAGACAAAAAAUUAAAGCCCUACACCCCCUUCUUCCCAGGCUCAACUUCACUCCUUCAUUCCCGACUCCUCUAACUUCUCCCCCUGCCCUAAGCAGCACAGGGAUGAUGGGGAAUGGGAGGGUUAAGGUCAAUUCAUAACAGGUCCUCUCUGCUUCUCCUUCCUCCUCACACUUUUCCCUUGCUCCAGUGUGGGUCAUCUCCAUGGGCCACAGUCCUUCAGGCUAAACAUGCUCCAGUGUGGACUCCUCUCUACAGGCCGCAGCUCCUGACAGGAGAACUUGCUCCAGCAUGGGCUCUCCAUAGGCCACAGUUCCGUCAAGAAAUAUCCACCUGCUCCAGCAUGGGGUGUUCCACAGGCUGCAGUGCGGAUAUCUGCUCUGGCAUGGUCCUCUCCACGGGCUGCAGGGAAAUACCUGCUCUACCGUGGUCUCUUCCAAAACUUCCACAGGCUGCAGAGCUGCAUGAAGAAGCACUGAAAUAUGGAGAGUAUUCAAGGCAAGGACUGCAUCCCUUUCUAGGAAGAAGGAACAGGCCAAAAUUGUGCAAGUAUACAUCAUAUAUUUAUUUUUAUUAUUGAACAACUCUCUCCAAAAUUGGGCACAGAGAUUAAAAAUAAAAAUUAAUUGUACUACUUCAUAAAGCAUUAGUAGUAACUCAUAAAAAAGUACAAGUUUUGUUAAAAAUUUAUCAAGCUUGCAAAUGAUUUCAUUAGAUAUUUAUAAUACAUUUAAAAUAUGUUAAAUGACACAAUAAAGUGUGAUUUUAAAGAAAAUGUUUGACAAAAUAUGAUUCUAACAAAACCCAUAAGCUUUGAUAAUCAUUAACAAACCAAACAAAUAGCAAAAUGAGGUAACAAUGUACCAAAGGAAAGGAAAAAAAAAAAAAAACCACAAAGCC